UACGUAGGGGGCAAGCGUUGUCCGGAAUCAUUGGGCGUAAAGAGCGCGUAGGCGGCCCUGUAAGUCCGCUGUGAAAGUCAAGGGCUCAACCCUUGAAUGCCGGUGGAUACUGCAGGGCUAGAGUCCGGAAGAGGCGAGUGGAAUUCCUGGUGUAGCGGUGAAAUGCGCAGAUAUCAGGAAGAACACCAAUGGCGAAAGCAGCUCUCUGGGACGGUACUGACGCUGAGACGCGAAAGCGUGGGGAGCGAACAGG
rnacentral:rRNA from 1 species